AACGAAAAUACUACAGUAACCUAAUUCAAAACUUUUUAAAACUAAACAACGCAUUAUAAUCUAUAAUUGAACAAUAUUUAUUAAAUACAAACGAAAGUGAUACUUGUUUUCAAGAUUCGCCAUCACAUCGAAUUUUGCGGCACAUGCAUGAAGUAUUAAAUAUAGACAAAAAUAAAAACUAAUUACAUAGUUUGCCUGUAAAUCGUGAGAUGAAUCUUUUGACACUAGUUAGUCUAUGAUUGUACAAUAUUUGCCACAAAUAAACAAAAUUGCUACAAUAGUGAAAUCCAAAAAAUUCACAUCUAAACAAGGCUAAUUCACCCAAAAAAACUAAAAACUUUUCAAAAUUUCCGUUACAUCGAAUUUUGCGGCAC
rnacentral:lncRNA from 1 species